UAGUCCACGCCGUAAACGAUGGACACUAGCUGUUGGGAUUAAUCUCAGCGGCUAAGCGAAAGUGAUAAGUGUCCCACCUGGGGAGUACGAUCGCAAGAUUGAAACUCAAAGGAAUUGACGGGGGCCCGCACAAGCGGUGGAGCAUGUGGUUUAAUUCGAUGAUACGCGAGGAACCUUACCAGGGCUUAAAUGUAAUAUGACAGGACUAGAGGUAGUUUUUUCUUCGGACAUAUUACAAGGUGCUGCAUGGUUGUCGUCAGCUCGUGCCGUGAGGUGUCAGGUUAAGUCCUAUAACGAGCGCAACCCCUGCCGUUAGUUGCCAGCAUUUAAAGAUGGGGACUCUAGCGGGACUGCCGGUGCAAACCGAGAGGAAGGUGGGGAUGACGUCAAAUCAUCACGGCCCUUACGUCCUGGGCUACACACGUGUUACAAUGGUAGUGACGAAGAGUUGCUAGUCUGCGAAGGCAAGCCAAUCUCAUAAACGCGGCCUUAGUUCGGAUUGCAGGCUGAAA
rnacentral:rRNA from 1 species